rnacentral:misc_RNA from 1 species
GGAAGUUGUGGGAACAAUGAGCCUUCUAGCCCAAGCUCCCGCCGGAGCUUUAUCGGCGACUCAUCGUUGUUCCCUCACAUUCACCCAUCCAAUUCCUCCUCUAUUCUCCCAUCGUCGGCCCACUCAAAUUUCCACUAAAAACCCAAUUCACGGCUCAAAAAAUGGACAAAAACCCAUCACUCUAGCUAAUGCAGAGUCUUCUUCUUCCGGCGCCGGUGUACCUCGUGAAGCUUCGACUGCUACUACUAGUACUGUUGGAUCGUCUAAUUCUAGUAAUGGGUCAGCUUCUUUUAGCACAGAGGAUUCAAUUUCCUUCGUAGGUCAAGAUAGUGUUCCUCUGGAAGGUGUUAUUCAGUUUGAGAAACCUGAUUCUAAUUCAAUUAGUGAUAAAAUUAAUAAAUGGGGCUGGGUGGCGUUGUUAGCUGGUGGAGAUGUUGCGGUUUUGUUGUUAUUCUCUGCAAUUGGAAGGUUUAGUCAUGGAUUCGCUGUUUUUGACUCCGAAACACUGCGAACUGCUGACCCCUUCAUUGCUGGUUGGUUGUUGAGUGCGUAUUUCCUUGGAGGAUUUGGCGAGGAUGGUAAAGGAAAGAAUGGUCUGUUUAAGGCUUUCAUUGCUGCUACUAAAUCAUGGUCAUUAGGCAUUCCGCUGGGUAUAGCUAUAAGGGCUGCCUCUGUGGGUCAUAUACCACCAGUCAACUUCAUAAUAGUUACCAUGGGGAGUACUGCUGUACUACUCAUUGGAUGGAGGACCCUCUUGUUCAGCAUUUUACCAACGGACAAGCCGAAGAAGAAUGAUGUUUAUAAGAGCGGAAACCCUUUUGAAUUUCUUGAGUUGUUGACAUCAUUGGUAAGAAGAUGGUGAUUGUGGUAGCAGUGCAUGUGACGUGGUAUUAUUGAUUAAAUUCUAACGGGAAAUUUUCCAGUAUGUACAUGUCCUUUCUCAUUAUAAGUAGAUCAAUGUAGUUUGUUCUUCUGAAUAACAGUGGAAGAAAAUACAGUUUCCAUCCAUUCCUCUUUAAACUACAGGUUACUUGGAUAGUGUUUGGCCAUACAUCCCAAAUACUUUUGAGAAAUCAGAUUAUAUUGGUUCAUGAAAAUGUGGCAUAUACU